rnacentral:rRNA from 1 species
GAUGAACGCUGGCGGCAUGCCUAAUACAUGCAAGUCGAACGAGAGGAAGGAAAGCUUGCUUUUCUGAAUCUAGUGGCGAACGGGUGAGUAACACGUAGGUAACCUGCCCAUGUGCCCGGGAUAACUUCUGGAAACGGAUGCUAAAACCGGAUAGGUAGCAGACAAGCAUUUGGCUGCUAUUAAAGUGGCUAAGGCCAUGAACAUGGAUGGACCUGCGGUGCGUUAGCUAGUUGGUGAGGUAACGGCCCACCAAGGCGACGAUGCAUAGCCGGCCUGGGAGGGCGGACGGCCACAUUGGGACUGAGACACGGCCCAAACUCCUACGGGAGGCAGCAGUAGGGAAUUUUCGUCAAUGGGGGGAACCCUGAACGAGCAAUGCCGCGUGAGUGAGGAAGGUCUUCGGAUCGUAAAGCUCUGUUGUAAGAGAAAAAUGACAUUCAUAGGGAAUGAUGAGUGAGUGAUGGUAUCUUACCAGAAAGUCACGGCUAACUACGUGCCAGCCGCCGCAGUAA